rnacentral:rRNA from 1 species
AUUGAACGCUGGCGGAAUGCUUUACACAUGCAAGUCGAACGGCAGCACGGACUUCGGUCUGGUGGCGAGUGGCGAACGGGUGAGUAAUGUAUCGGAACGUGCCCAGUCGUGGGGGAUAACGUAGUGAAAAUUACGCUAAUAACGCAUACGAUCCAUGGAUGAAAGCGGGGGAUCGCAAGACCUCGCGCGCUUGGAGCGGCCGAUAUCAGAUUAGGUAGUUGGUGGGGUAAAGGCCCACCAAGCCAACGAUCUGUAGCUGGUCUGAGCAGGACGACAAGCCACACUGGAACUGAGACACGGUCCAGACUCCUACGGGAGGCAGCAGUGGGGAAUUUUGGACAAUGGGCGAAAGCCUGAUCCAGCCAUUCCGCGUGCAGGAUGAAGGCCCUCGGGUUGUAAACUGCUUUUGUACAGAACGAAAAGGUUUCUACUAAUACUAGGAGCUCAUGACGGUACUGUAAGAAUAAGCACCGGCUAACUACGUGCCAGCAGCCGCAGUAA